rnacentral:rRNA from 1 species
UGCUCUGGUGGAUUAGUGGCGAACGGGUGAGUAACACGUGAGUAACCUGCCCUGAACUCUGGGAUAAGCGUUGGAAACGACGUCUAAUACCGGAUAGGACCUUGGAUCGCAUGAUCUGGGGUGGAAAGUUUUUCGGUUUGGGAUGGACUCGCGGCCUAUCAGCUUGUUGGUGAGGUAAUGGCUCACCAAGGCGUCGACGGGUAGCCGGCCUGAGAGGGUGACCGGCCACACUGGGACUGAGACACGGCCCAGACUCCUACGGGAGGCAGCAGUGGGGAAUAUUGCACAAUGGGCGCAAGCCUGAUGCAGCAACGCCGCGUGCGGGAUGACGGCCUUCGGGUUGUAAACCGCUUUUAGUAGGGAAGAAGGGCUUCGGCUUGACGGUACCUGCAGAAAAAGGACCGGCUAACUACGUGCCAGCAGCCGCGGUAAUACGUAGGGUCCGAGCGUUGUCCGGAAUUAUUGGGCGUAAAGAGCUCGUAGGCGGUUUGUCGCGUCUGCUGUGAAAACUAGAGGCUCAACCUCUAGCCUGCAGUGGGUACGGGCAGACUUGAGUGCGGUAGGGGAGAAUGGAAUUCCUGGUGUAGCGGUGGAAUGCGCAGAUAUCAGGAGGAACACCGAUGGCGAAGGCAGUUCUCUGGGCCGUAACUGACGCUGAGGAGCGAAAGCGUGGGGAGCGAACAGGAUUAGAUACCCUGGUAGUCCACGCCGUAAACGUUGGGCGCUAGAUGUGGGGACCUUUCCACGGUUUCCGUGUCGUAGCUAACGCAUUAAGCGCCCCGCCUGGGGAGUACGGCCGCAAGGCUAAAACUCAAAGGAAUUGACGGGGGCCCGCACAAGCGGCGGAGCAUGCGGAUUAAUUCGAUGCAACGCGAAGAACCUUACCAAGGCUUGACAUACACGAGAACGGGCCAGAAAUGGUCAACUCUUUGGACACUCGUGAACAGGUGGUGCAUGGUUGUCGUCAGCUCGUGUCGUGAGAUGUUGGGUUAAGUCCCGCAACGAGCGCAACCCUCGUCGCAUGUUGCCAGCACGUUAUGGUGGGAACUCAUGUGAGACUGCCGGGGUCAACUCGGAGGAAGGUGGGGAUGACGUCAAAUCAUCAUGCCCCUUAUGUCUUGGGCUUCACGCAUGCUACAAUGGCCGGUACAAAGGGCUGCGAUGUCGUAAGGCGGAGCGAAUCCCAAAAAGCCGGUCUCAGUUCGGAUUGAGGUCUGCAACUCGACCUCAUGAAGUCGGAGUCGCUAGUAAUCGCAGAUCAGCAACGCU